rnacentral:misc_RNA from 1 species
GAUGAAGAACGUAGCGAAAUGCGAUAAGUAAUGUGAAUUGCAGAAUUCAGUGAAUCAUCGAAUCUUUGAACGCACAUUGCGCCCGCCAGUAUUCUGGCGGGCAUGCCUGUUCGAGCGUCAUUACAACCCUCAGGCCCCCGGGCCUGGCGUUGGGGAUCGGCGGAAGCCCCCUGCGGGCACAACGCCGUCCCCCAAAUACAGUGGCGGUCCCGCCGCAGCUUCCAUUGCGUAGUAGCUAACACCUCGCAACUGGAGAGCGGCGCUGCCACGCCGUAAAACACCCAACUUCUGAAUGUUGACCUCGAAUCAGGUAGGAAUACCCGCUGAACUUAAGCAUAUCAAUAAGCGGAGGA